CCCUCUCCCCUUUCCCCCUCACCACUCCACCUCUGAAACGCGGGCUCUACAUGCCGAAACACUGCUUCACAUCGCCUCAUGGUCCCCUUUAGCGGGAGAUGGUGUGAUUUUUUAGUUUAACUCCUGGUAGCGUAAUGAUAUGUGAAAAAAUAAAAAAGAACCUUGAAGGGAGGUUGCUACGAUUAAGGAUACGCAAAAAUUUAUGCGUAUGCUUUCUUGAAGCCUCUUUCACAGGCUGCUAUUCUUGCUCUAUGUGCAUUUCACCUUUCCCAUUCCAGUAAAAGUACAGAAGCACCACAAAGGAAGUUAAAAAGAUUACUGCGAGAACGUCACACCUCGUAGUUACCCGACACCCUACACAUGGUUACUCGGGAAUUUUUCAUAGGGUAAGCUUUGUGGUGUAGAGGGAGAAUGGAAGAAACAAAUAAAAAACGGAAUCGGGGACUAGCAUAGAACGGGAACGAUAUGUUGUUCUGCUAGGUUGUGGUCGAGGUUAUGUGGUUCGAAAAUGUUUCUGCGUGCACACAUGCUGUAAUAUUUUUACAAAUUCUACGUUCUGACAUGUGGCAGUGAGCAAUGAAGGAUCUGCCUCAGAUUCAUAUCACUGUAAACAUGGUUAGUCUCCUCUGGCUAACAUUUUUAAAUCAUAUCACCUGCCUACUUCCCUUUUUAUACAUUUCUUUUCAUUCAUAGUCUUAAAGAUCUGUGUGUUCUACGUUCAGAAACCCCUCAAAAUUACUCCUUUUCUUGCAACGUACCGCUAAUGUGGUGAAACUAGUCUGGUGUUCUCGUUUUUUUUUUGUUUUAUUUUUUUCUUCCACUGAUACCUGUGAGAAAACGUUUGGCAACAGCUGUUAGGUUGGCAUAAUUGUUGCUGCUUGAAAUGAAAUGCUGCAUACCUUUUUUGUUAGGUAACGUAUGUAUGGCUUCCAUGGUUAGCUGUUCUCUUGUGACCUUUGCACGUUUUAACUACAGCAAAUAUCAAUCCCUGGCCAAUUUGGAACUCUGCAUUGCAUAUUUAUCAAUUAGCUUAAAUCCAUUGCAUUUGUUAAUCAUUGCCUUUACCUUGGUCUGAAUGCAGCAAACUGAAUUUUCAAAUUGUUGGCUUCCGGUUAGGCGUGAACGAGGCAUGCUGUCAUUAUUGCUGCCGCCAUAAGUUAUGAAUCCUCGACUCUGAGAGGAAACUCGCAUGCUGAAUUUUUCUACAGGAUCUUAUACAUCGCAUUGUAUUAAUGUGUUCAGGUGUGUUUUUCAAUGUGUUAUGUAAUAGGUUCACAACGAAUUGGUGCAGUUGGCUGUGCCUUGCUAGAGGAAAGGAGUGAUUAAAUGCCUUUGGAUGCUGGGCAGAGAGUAAUUUUUAGUCAGUGUUUUAUAAACUGUUUGACAGCAUUAUACACCAUAUACAGCUGUGUCCAAAGGGAUGUGCUUCCGCUGUGCUGUUGUAUAGUUUUGUAUUAUGUAAGACCACACAGUUUUACUCUGCAGUUUUGAUAUCCCAUGUUGUUAGGCCAGUUUCAUAACUUGUAUAGGCUAGUGGUGUGCAUUACAAUUUGGAUGUUUCUACACCACAUCGUUACGAGCUUCUGACUUUAUGACAUAUGCUGACAAAGCUGUCGAGUUGAGGCUUUAAUGUAAUAUCGUUUUGAACACUGCCGUUUCUGUUGGCUGAACAAUUUUAGUUAUUUGGCUGUGAGUUGAAGAUGUGGAAAAAUUUGUUGAAACUUUGUUUGUGAAAUUGGGAACAUCGAAACAGUGAUGACCACGUGGAACUUAUUUCAGUCGUAUCAUCAGUACUGCAGUGGCCCAUCUGUUCUAUGUUGCAGAUUGGCCGUGCCACCAUUGUGGUUGGAUCGUAUUACGCAUGAAUGUAUAGUGGCAGUCAGAUAAAACUUUGGACGUUACUGCUUAUAAACCUUGAAACGGCGAUGCUAAAGGGAUUAAGUAAGAAUUUUGUACAUUGCAACGCUUUUUUUACUGCAUUUAGAAGUUUCAUUGGAUAUAAUAUAGUUUUUGCAUUCAUAUCUUCUUUUUAUACAUGAAUAUUGUCUUUCUUUUUACAAAUGAAAGUUGGAAACUAAGCAAUUUAUGCGAGUCCAAACAUCAGCUCCUGUGUGGAUUGUGGUCAAGUGGCUGCUACCAUAUUUGCAGGAGUAAAACACUAAAGAGGAAUAGGAUGCUUUGGAAAAUGCAGAAUACAAAAAUGGUGCAAUUUGUAGAACAUGCAUGAAAGCUUUCGGGCUCCAAAUUUCGCAUCUUAUUUAUGACAGUGUGAUGCAUGAUCUGUUACUCCGUGAUGGAUUCAAUACACUUCAGUUUCUUUAUAGCUCAUUUUUUUUUUUAUAGAAAACUUGCAGCACCUGCUUGAGAAAGUGCUGAUAUGAAACUUAUUUUUGCACCAUUGAUGAAGUUCCUUGACAUGGUCCUAUUUCCAAUUAUCUGCACAUAUUUUGUAUUUUCCUAGGCUCUGUGAUAGAACAUGUAUACUACUAGACUUUGAACUCUGUACAAAAAGAAAGGGCUGCCUUUAGGAAUUCAGUACGAUGGGCCUGCUGUGUAUGUGAGGGGCUUGCAUGUAAGUGGUUGGAUAUUCUAGUAUGUGCUGAAAGUAGUGAAUAAAAUUGAAAUGAGUACAGAAAGUCUACACGGAAACAUUUUUUUUCAUUGUAGCAAUAGCAGUUUUCCCACGUUCGUUCUAUUCAAUACCGCAUGUGUUGCUAGCUCGGCAUUUUGAAGCUACUUCUCAGACUUAAUGUGCAGGCAUCCGGCUAACAGGAAAUGUAUUAUCGUAUAGGAAAUUUGCCGAGGAGCUUCCCAGAAGCAGUUGUCGCUCCGAAGAGUGCCGAUCCCCUUGUUGGAUUGAUAGGUUCGCCUAUUGCAUGGGCAUACGCAGAUAAGUUUUCGUGCCUUCUUUCUUUUCUGCUGUUGUGCGUUACUUCAGUUGUUAGUCGGCGUUUGUGGUGUCCUGACUUCUUUCUUGUGUCCGUGUUUGCACGCUCUGUCUUUUUAAAAAAGAAUGAAUACUUACCAACUAGCUCAGCUCACUGUUAUUUUAAGCCCCUUGUUGGAAUGUUGGCUCUGGGCUGAGGCUUCCAUUGUUUCACUGUUGUUCUUAACCUCCUAGUUAAAGCUUUGCCUUGUUUGAUUAGAGGUGCUUGAAAAGCUGAAGCGCUUAUCAAAACAAUCUCCACUGGGUUGAUAAAAUUAAUCAGUCACAUUGCACUCUGAUAUGUAGAGCACUCAGAAGGAAGACCAGGAGGGUCGCUGCUGCAUGGCACUACUUUAUUUGUUGUUUGCUUAAAUAACUCUGAAAAUGGCCACUACUGCUGGAAGAAAGUUGUGAAUUUCAUCCCUCGAGUUGUGGAGUGGGUUUACCUUGGUCUUCUGCUUGUCAUUACAGAUUGGCUCUUCGUGAUAGGCUCUCUCAGUCUGACUGACACCUCACUAUGUCAUUAUUUCUCAUUUUAGCUUGUACAUUUUGGGAAACAUUGCACAAUCCUUAUGCCUUGGAUGGAGGAGUUUGUGGUUGUGAGAUAAUGUAGCUUAGUGUCGCACAACUUCAUACUUUCUUGAAGAGAGCAUGAUGUAUGAUUCUGUCGCCAUCGUAGACUUUACUUUGGCAGUGGGAGUUAUUAAAUUAUGUCAGCAAGCGAAGAAGCCUGGAAUAAUGAGAAGGGCUGUAAUAAGUAUUUGCUUUGUUAUAAGCGUACCUUUGCAGAUUGUGGUCUAGCGAGGUUAAAAUUGUGAUCUGCAACGAUAAAAUAAAUUUGAAUUGCUUUACUUAGUCCUCAUUCAUCUCAGAAAACAAAAUGCCUGGAAAGCAAUAUUAAAGCUGCCGUGUAUCCACUGGAGAUCUCAGUGGCAUUGCAGCACCUUGAGAUGCUUUUCUGGUAGCCCUGUUUUUAAAGAAUUUGUGGAGUGCAAUGUUGGGGAUGAGAGAAAUAUGUUCCUGCUUAACGAAACACAGUUGGCUGAGCGCACCAUUUAUCUUCUUGAUUUUUAUCUAACACGCAUUUUUUAUAAUACUAGAAGUUAUCUUUAGUACCCAACCUGUCGGCGCGUUGGGAGCACUGAGAUGGGUUUCGUGGUUUUGGAAUGUUCAUGUCACACCCUACUUUUGUGUGGCUUUUGUAUGUCUUGGACAUUGUGUGCUAGUUUGCCCCAUGUUGCUUAUGACUGUGUUACUGCACAUCGAAAUAUAUAUUAAUAUGGUGCUCACCCAAAGCACAGUUGUCACUACAUUGCUGAAACGAAUGCCUAUACAGCCAAAACUGAAGACAUCAGCCCACUGUCUCUUUUGCUUAGAGCUAUGUUUAUCCUCUAACGUUACUGUAAUUGUUAGUGGUUGUUCAGAAUGUGAUGGAAUGAAGUUCAUCUUAAAUAGUGAACAGUAUUUAACCUCAAAGUUGAAUGUAAUUUUAUACAAGAAGCAGCCUACUGACUUUCUUCUUUACAUUCAUUGAUCUGUCACCCAAUAAAUGUGUGUAGCCAAACUACCCAAGUCCACUGGUGUGUUGUUCUGACUGAUUGGCGCAGUUCUGAACGCAGUACAGUAAUAGUACUAACCACCGUUACCGCAGUAUGUCACUCGACUGCUACCGUGUUCACUUUGUCAUUCUUUUCAUGUUGUUGCCCCUUUCAAAGUGUAUGGAUAAGUUAUCAAAAGGUUAGCACGGCCCUGUAAUGUAUUAAUUCACAAAAUUGGUGAAAUUUGUUCUUUCCUAUCCUUCAUUCUUUAGAAGCGUUGCCUGCUGUGCUUCUAAAAGUAAAGUUUCGGUGUCAGUAAAUAAUGACACUUGACAUUCGUAAGUCCAAAUAUGUUCUUAAAAGGCGAGAGGUCCAGAGCUCUUAUUUCAUAAUAAUGAAGUAUAUAGGUACUAGUGAGCGCAUGUUUAUUGCACUUGGUGCUCGGUUAAAAAAUAAGUUAUAUAUGUAUAUAUAUAUCAAAUACAGUACGUAAAAGCAAACUUGCUUUCAUGUAAGAGUAUCUUCUGGGCUGGGAGCUCUAAGGAGUGCAUGCUUAAAUGUUUCCUAGCGGAUUGCCUAAUCUUAAUGCCCCAUGCAAUCCUCUACUGCUUUUGAAUAAAUUGUGCUUUCUUUUGUGUGCACUCCACUGAUCAAAAUGGGUGACACCAAUGACUGUUAGCUUUGUACGGUGCGUGUGCAACAUCGAUUAUUUGUCUUAACCUUAACGUGGAUGUUGUCUAAUCCCAUUGCAAACUUUGUCCAUAAUGCUUAAUAUUUUAUAAAUGUUCAGAUAAAGUUAUGGUGUAUAUAACUUUUGCAACAUGCAAUUUGGUGAACAGUUGAAUGCUUUGAACUGAGAGAAAUCGCUCAAGCACAUUUGCUCAGUUGCGUUGUGCUGAAAUUUUUUUUAAACGAAAACCUCCAUCACGAACUUUGAACCCAUCCUCCAUGAAACUUAUUGAAAGCCUGGUACUGCCUACCAUGUCUGUGUGUUCAGUGCCUGAUGUCACAUGUACAGCACACUUUUUUUCACAAAAGGUUGACUGUAUAGCAUAUCUGAGGCAUUGUCCCUUGAACUGUGUGCUUAUGCUUAGGCAAGUGCUUUGUACUGUUACAAUGAUUUUCAUGGGAACUGACAACGAUGUACCGGCUCCACUGCUUUGCCCUUUGGACUGUUUUGUUAUUUAUCAGGCAGUGAUAAAGCCGAGAAGCAUACAAAAUGUAUUCUCUGAUUAUUAUUGUUAAUAUACUUGCAGAAACACUCAAACACUAUCAAUACCCAGAUGCACCAAAAUUUUUGCAUGCCUAUUGACAUUAAGAAUUUUAUAUUAAAAUGCCAUAAGAAAUUUUUAGGGCUCGUUAGCACUUGUGUGUUGACAUGAAUAAUUUUAAUAUUUUCAUUGGCGCACAAUAUGUUACGGGAAAACUUAAUUUCAAAGAAUUUGAAUACAACCACUCACUGAAUUCUUCAAUGCCCAAUUUUUCAUACUCAUAAAUUACAUUGACACCAACUGUGACACUGACUUGUUAACCUGAUGUAUGAAGGCAAUCAAAAUUUCUGCCACUGUUACGUGCAUGUGUUGUGAGUGCAGUUAUGAAGAUAUGUGGCACCAGUCAUUUUUGCGGAGACUACAAGGCAAAGUGUGUGCUGAUAAUGUCUCUGUAAAACAAAGCCUGUGACUCUUUAACAGCGAAAGUUCUGAAUCAUCAGCUUUUAGUAUAUUUCACCAAAUUAAAAAUGUCUUGGUUGGGACUGUAGUUUUCCUUUUUUUUCAGUUUCUUACGUGGGUAGGUCUGUUUUUACCGUGUUUUCAUGCUAGUAUGACUGUCAUGCCUUGUUUUGCUUAACAUGGCUAGCCAUAUCAAUGCUGUUCAUCUUGGUUAAGUCGUUUCAGGGCAUUGGUUCAAUCAAAUCUUGCUCAAGAUGAACUAUGUUUAGCAGCUUUCGCUUCACAUGCUGGUAAUUGCUGGAUGUAGUUUCUUAGGAAAGUCUAGUAUACAAUCAUGUCACAGCAUUCAUCUCGCAGUUGCAUAUUUUUUCAGUGCCUGUCGUCUUGCAGGUGUAGCCUGUUACCAGCACAAUCAUGAGCCUCCUGUUACGAGUCCGUUUUCUUCCCCCUUCUUCGUCAUGUCUGUGAUGUUCCAAGGUGGUUUAUAAAUUACUAGUAAGGGGCUCUGCUGCGAUUUUAUUCACAUGAAACUACAUUAAACUGCAUCUGGUUUCAUGUGUGAGAGAACAGGACGUGCUUACGAAUACGUUGGUGAAAAAAAAGGAAAAAAUUAUGUGCAGCAUGCUGACAUGUAAACAAUGGACUUUUUGAAGGAGCUUGAUAUCUCAUGUCAAGUUUUCCUCCUUUUGAGACUAAGGUCCUGUUCAAGUGAUCCAUGCAAUGAGAAUAAGAAAACAAUGGUACAGUGCAUUUUUCGGCCUCAUGGAACUUGUUUAACUGCGUCAUCAUAUGCCUUUAAAUUAUUGAUGCCAUUAAACACUAAUGUGAGCAAAGGAACUUGGGUGACAAAACUGUUCGGGGACUCCUCUGAUGCAUGAGAUUAAAAGCUGCUGUGAAAUACCUGUGAGAUCAUACCGUGAUAAAUGGCAUGCUUGUUAUCUAUAGAUGAGGCAGCUCCAUCUACGUCCUUAAGUGUUUGCUAGGUUGUGGUGUUGAGGGCCACACUCAUAGAAGCUGUCUUAAGUGUGUGUUAUUUCAGGCUGUUUAGGUACAGUAGAAUCUUGCUAAUCGAAACUUCGCUAAAUGAAACCAAAUUAGAGGCAGAUGUUUUGUUUAAGCAGCAAUGCCAUUUUAAGCAAUGUUUAUUUACCGAGAUUCUGCUCUAUUCUUCAUUUUGAAAUUAUGAGUGUUAAAUGUUAUAACACUUGUCACUUGUAGUUAUGUUCGCUAUAUUUUUUUGCCUAAGUUGGAUGCUUUCCAAACUUUAUUGACCUGUUUAGAUCGCAGGUGGGUGUAAAACAUUUUUUUCCAUGCAGAGCUAAGCCUGAAUGCUUUGUUCUGCUGAGAAUGCAUGUCUCAGUACCUCUGACCUGCCAUAGCUAGGCAUCCCAUAUGAGCACUGAUGUGUUAAGUGUUGUGCUGUACUAUAUUUUUGUACUGAGGCACUACAUUUAUGGGAAAUGAUCUUGUAUUCAAGUAUUAUUUAAAGUCUAUUUUUGUUUUACUUUUUUAUAUAUUUUUUUACUGGCAUGCUAAUGUGCUUUAUACUUCAUUAAACUGUUUUGGUUUGAAUAAAGGCAAAGACCUUGUC